UACGUAGGUGUCGAAGCGUUGUCCGGAUUUAUUGGGCGUAAGCGCCCGACAGGCGGCUUGCCAAGUUCGAUGUGAAAUCUCCCGGCUCAACUGGGAGGGUGCAUCGAAAACUUGGCAGGCUUGAGGCAGGGAGAGGAACGCGGAAUUCCAGGUGUAGCGGUGAAAUGCGUAGAUAUCUGGAGGAACACCGGUGGCGAAGGCGGCGUUCUGGACUGUAACUGACACUGAGGAACGAAAGCCAGGGGAGCAAACGGG
rnacentral:rRNA from 1 species